rnacentral:rRNA from 1 species
ACUCAAAUGAAUUGACGGGGGCCCGCACAAGCGGCGGAGCAUGUGGCUCAAUUCGAUGCAACGCGAAGAACCUUACCUGGGCUGAACUACGCGGGAAAAGCCAUAGAAAUAUGGUGUCCUUCGGGGUCCGCGAUAGGUGGUGCAUGGCUGUCGUCAGCUCGUGUCGUGAGAUGUUGGGUUAAGUCCCGCAACGAGCGCAACCCUUAUCCCAUGUUGCCAGCGGGUAAUGCCGGGGACUCGUGGGGGACUGCCGGUGCCAAACCGGAGGAAGGUGGGGACGAGGUCAAGUCAUCAUGCCCCUUACGUCCAGGGCUGCACACAUGCUACAAUGGCCGGUACAAAGGGCUGCGAUCCCGCGAGGGGGAGCUAAUCCCAGAAAGCCGGUCUCAGUUCGGAUCGUAGUCUGCAACUCGACUGCGUGAAGUCGGAGUCGCUAGUAAUCGCAGAUCAGCAUUGCUGCGGUGAAUACGUUCCCGGGCCUUGUACACACCGCCCGU